UACGUGGGUGGCAAGCGUUGUCCGGAUUUAUUGGGUUUAGAGGGUGCGUAGGCGGCCUUAUAAGUCAGUGCUGAAAUAUCCCGGCUUAACCGGGGGGGUGGCAUUGAUACUGUAGGGCUUGAGUAAAGUUGAGGUUGGCGGAAUUGACGGUGUAGCGGUGAAAUGCUUAGAUAUCGUCAAGAACACCUAUUGCGAAGGCAGCUAACUAAGCUUUAACUGACGCUGAGGCACGAAAGUGUGGGGAUCAAACAGG
rnacentral:rRNA from 1 species